rnacentral:rRNA from 1 species
UACGUAGGGUGCAAGCGUUAAUCGGAAUUACUGGGCGUAAAGCGUGCGCAGGCGGUUUUGUAAGUCUGUCGUGAAAUCCCCGGGCUCAACCUGGGAAUUGCGAUGGAGACUGCAAGGCUAGAAUCUGGCAGAGGGGGGUAGAAUUCCACGUGUAGCAGUGAAAUGCGUAGAGAUGUGGAGGAACACCGAUGGCGAAGGCAGCCCCCUGGGUCAAGAUUGACGCUCCAUGCACGAAAGCGUGGGGAGCAAACAGG